AUUGAACGCUGGCGGCAGGCCUAACACAUGCAAGUCGAACGAGUGGCGGACGGGUGAGUAAUGUCUGGGAAACUGCCUGAUGGAGGGGGCUAACUACUGGCAACGGUAGCUAAUACCGCAUAACAUCAUAUGUGCCCAGAUGGGAUUCGCUAGUGGGUGGGGUAACGGCUCACACAGGCGACGAUCCCUAGCUGGUCUGAGAGGAUGACCAGCAACACUGGAACUGAGACACGGUCCAGACUCCUACGGGAGGCAGCAGUGGGGAAUAUGGCACAAUGGGGGCAAGCCUGAUGCAGCCAGGCCGGGGGUAUGAAGAAGGCCUUCGGGUUGUAAAGUACUUUCAGCGGGGAGGCGUUACCCGCAGAAGAAGCACCUGCUAACUCCGUGCCAGCAGCCGCGGUAAUUC
rnacentral:rRNA from 1 species